AUUGAACGCUGGCGGCAUGCCUUACACAUGCAAGUCGAACGGCAGCACGGGUGCUUGCACCUGGUGGCGAGUGGCGAACGGGUGAGUAAUACAUCGGAACGUACCUUAUCGUGGGGGAUAACGCAGCGAAAGCUGUGCUAAUACCGCAUACGCCCUGAGGGGGGAAAGCGGGGGAUCGCAAGACCUCGCGCGAUUAGAGCGGCCGAUGCCUGAUUAGCUUGUUGGUGGGGUAAAAGCCCACCAAGGCGACGAUCAGUAGCUGGUCUGAGAGGACGGUCAGCACCACUGGGACUGGAACACGGCCCAGACUCCUACGGGAGGCAGCAGUGGGGAAUUUUGGACAAUGGGGGCAGCCCUGAUCCAGCAAUGCCGCGUGAGUGAAGAAGGCCUUCGGGUUGUAAAGCUCUUUUGUCAGGGAAGAAACACCGGCUCUAACACAGUCCGGGAAUGACGGUACCUGAAGAAUAAGCACCGGCUAACUACGUGCCAGCCGCCGCCGUAA
rnacentral:rRNA from 1 species